AAGGUUAAUAUAAGAAAAUUCCAUAGCCAGGCAAAGAUAUUAGGCACAAUUGUGACCGUUGGGGGAACAAUGCUGCUGAUGCAUUGAUUAAUGGACCAAUGUUGCAGUUGCCGUGAACCAAAUCAAAUAGCUUACUUGUACAUUCAACUGCAUCGACACCCGAGCAAGAUCCGAUUAAAGGUGCUCUCAUGAUCACUGUUGGCCGUUUUUGCUGGGCCGGUUUCAUCAUUUUACAGGCAAUUACCCUAAAAUCAUACCCUGCUGAGCUCUCCCUAACAGCGUUAAUCUGCUUGGCGGGCACCAUUGAAGGAAGCAUUGUACCAGUGGCAAUGGAAGCUGGCAAUGCUGCGGUCUGGUCUGUUCAUUUGGAUGUUAAACUCUUAGCUGCAGUUUACAGUGGAGUAGUCUGUUCCGGG